GGGGAUUUAGCUCAGCGGUAGAGCGCUUGCCUAGCAAGCACAAGGCCCUGGGUUCGGUCCCCAGCUCCA
rfam:Rattus norvegicus chromosome 5, whole genome shotgun sequence.